UAGGUUAUUGCCAGGGUUUUUAUUUUUAUAUUUUUAAUCUUGAUUUUAUUUUUUAUGUUAUUUAAAUAACAUAAAAAAUAAAAUAUAUAUUGACAUGGAUUAAACAAAGAUAUAUAUUAUUUUAUGUUNUAUAAACAAAUUGGCAAAAUAGAGAUGGAAGAUAAAAAUAAAAACCCUGGCAAUAACCUACU
rnacentral:misc_RNA from 1 species